AGUCCAAUAGUUUAACGGUUAUGACGUAUCCUUCACAUCAGUUCACUAGUUCACUCUAGCUGAUCGGAUAAGAUCCCGGUUCGAUUCCGGGUUGGACUA